CCCAGACUCCUACGGAGGCAGCAGUGGGGAAUAUUGCACAAUGGGGGAAACCCUGAUGCAGCGACGCCGCGUGAGUGAAGAAGUCAUUCGUGAUGUAAAGCUCUAUCAGCAGGGAAGAAAAUGACGGUACCUGACCAAGAAGCCCCGGCUAACUACGUGCCAGCAGCCGCGGUAAUACGUAGGGGGCAAGCGUUAUCCGGAUUUACUGGGUGUAAAGGGAGCGUAGACGGCAUGGCAAGUCUGGUGUGAAAGGCAGGGGCUCAACCCCUGGACUGCAUUGGAAACUGUCAGGCUGGAGUGCAGGAGAGGUAAGUGGAAUUCCUAGUGUAGCGGUGAAAUGCGUAGAUAUUAGGAGGAACACCAGUGGCGAAGGCGACUUACUGGACUGUAACUGACGUUGAGGCUCGAAAGCGUGGGGAGCAAACAGGAUUAGAUACCCCCGUAAC
rnacentral:rRNA from 1 species